rnacentral:rRNA from 1 species
AUUGAACGCUGGCGGCAGGCCUAACACAUGCAAGUCGAACGGUAACAGUAAACCGCUUGCUGUUUCGCUGACGAGUGGCGGACGUGUGAGUAAUGUCUGGGAAACUGCCUGAUGGAGGGGGAUAACUACUGGAAACGGUAGCUAAUACCUCCUAACGUCGCAAGACCAAAGUGGGGGUCCCUCUGGCCUCUUGCCAUCGGAUGUGCCCAGAUGGGAUUAGCUUGUUGGUGGGGUAACGCCUCACAAAGGCGACGAUCCCUCGCUGGUCUUAGUGGAUGACCAGCCACACUGGAAGUGAGACACGGUACAGAAUCCUACGGGAGGCAGCAGUGGGGAAUAUUGCACAAUGGGAGAAAGACGGAUGCAGCCAUGCAGCGUGUAUGAAGAAGGACUUAGGGUUGUAAAGUACUUUCAGCGGGGAGGAAGGGAGUAAAGUUAAUAACUUUGCUGAUUGACGUUACCCGCAGAAGAAACACCGGCUAACUACGUG